rnacentral:rRNA from 1 species
GAUGAACGCUGGCGGCGUGCUUAACACAUGCAAGUCGAACGAAGCACCUCUCCCGAAGAUUUACACAGCUUGCUGUAGAUUGAUUCAUUUGAGGUGACUGAGUGGCGGACGGGUGAGUAACGCGUGGGUAACCUGCCUCAUCGAGGGGGACAACAGUUGGCAACGACUGCUAAUACCGCAUCGUAAGAAGAAUUCGCAUGUUUUCUUCUUGAAAGGUUUAUCGCUAUGAGAUGGACCCGCGUCUGAUUAGCUAGUUGGUAAGGUAACGGCUUACCAAGGCGACGAUCAGUAGCCGGCUUGAGAGAGUGAACGGCCACAUUGGGACUGAGACACGGCCCAAACUCCUACGGGAGGCAGCAGUGGGGAAUAUUGCACAAUGGGGGAAACCCUGAUGCAGCGACGCCGCGUGAGUGAAGAAGUAUUUCGGUAUGUAAAGCUCUAUCAGCAGGGAAGAUAAUGACGGUACCUGACUAAGAAGCCCCGGCUAACUACGUG